CCCACCUCUCCCACCCCUCCUCGCCGACCAGCGCCCUCUGCCCCUCCCCCACCUCUCCCUCACAUCCUUGCCGCCCCAGGGCCGGAGCCCUGCUCUCGGCCACGCCUAGCAGCGGCUCCGGCACCUUAUUUUCCUUUUCUUCCUCCUCUCUCUCUAAAUCGCCAUGGGAGGCGGGAGAUCAGCGGGAGGAGGCGCGUCGCAGGAGGCCCUGCGAGGCCGCCGACGACGAGCACGUCGCGGGAGUGUCCGUUGUCGAACUCCUUUUUCAUUGUUCUGUAAAGACAAUUUUUUGCUGUUGCGACCAUCGCCGGCCUAGCUCCUGGCCCCGCCGCCGUUUGGUCGUCUCUGCGUGCUCGGCCUGCCGCCCCUGCGCGCUACCCCGCUUGACGCGCCGCAUGUUCAGGUGGAGAGGCUGGGCAUGGAGAGUAUUCAGUGUGGUGGUGGCUGAUGAAGCUGCGGACCUGCAAGGAUUUAAAAAAAAAUAGAGCGCGACACGAAGCUGCGAAAGGAUGCCAGCGACCGCGACUAAAUUGACGCAUAGGUCAGUGCUUUGCGACCAUCUCCUCCCUAUUUCCUCUUAUCUCCGGUGUUCAUAUCAGCGCUCUCUCCUCGGCCCGUGCACCACAACCCAUCCUCAUGUCGCUUCCAUGUCUGAUCUGGGGCUGUCCGUCAUCAAGACCACCUAGGCAAGCUAUCCAUUACGGGAUUCUCCUCACCCCUUUCUCUUCCAAUUCCCGUCUACAGAGAAGCCACAAUAUUCAUCCCUUCAAUUCCUAAAUCCCCAAACCGAAUCCGACGUAUCUAUUUUUUCUUAAUCUGCUUCUUUUAAGUUCAGUUCACAAAGGAAUUAAUCAAGAGCUUCACAUCUGCAGGUAUUGCAGUUCUCUCUUUUUUUUACUGAAACCAUGCCUACUUUGUCACAACAAUUUUUUGCAGGUUGUUAUCUUCUUCCAGAUCAAUGUGCUACUAGGACAAGCCUCAGAUUUAUAAAAUGUUGCAACCUUAAUUUCAAGAUCUUGGCAAGAAAGAUGUACACUAUGAGUCCGUUUUAUCAUCGACAGAUGAUAAAUAUAACUGUUGCCUGCUCUUUGGCAACACGCCAUUUUUGUAUGGUCAGCAAGAGGUUUUCUUUCUGUGCGUCAAGCAUCGAUACAACCAAUCUUCUUUCUAUGCUGACAAUCUUCCAUUACUACACUGCUCAAAGGAUGUAUCCUGCAACUCUUAUCGAUGGAAAGUUAUUGUGUGGCUGGCCACGAUCUGGAUCUUCAGAUGUGCAGAUUCAGGGGUCCUCUACAAGGUCAGAUUUCAUUGUCGUGGAUUGACAGAUUCUAAGAAGUGCUUCAGAAGAUACUUACCAUGCUUAUAAGUCGUUUCUACAACUCACUCCAUGUUUUUUUUUGCGAAUUACAACUCACUCCAUGUAAAACUUAAUGCUUCAGUGAUGUCAAUAUCUGUUAGGUAUUCAACUGCUCCUUUAAUAUAUUUGUGAUGGUGCAUGUAUUUCAUGUUGAGGCAUAGUUGUACCAACAUUAGCUUUUCCGUGAUCUGUAAGUGCUCACAUAAUUUUCCAUUGCAUUUUUAUUUCUGACAUAUACCGCUAUAUGUUUUUUGUUUUGUCGGAUAUCCACCACCUUGAUCCUGUUGUGGAACGGACAUCGCAACUUCUUAGUAUGUUUCCAGUUCUUUCUGUCGCGCUGACUUCCCCUCCCAUCUCCAACAUACAAACAACUGAGUGAAGCACACAAGAAUGUGGAAAUUGAUUCAUAUGUCUUGUGCAAUGAGGGAUCAUGGAGAGAAAAGCACAAUUCUGUCGUGAGGUAAUUGUACUCAUUGCCUUUUUUCACGCUUUAUUAGUUCACAACUGUUUUUUAUAACCAUAGAUAUAUUUCACUUAUUUUAUGCUCACAGAACCUGCACUGUCUCUUAUAUUCGUUCUUGGGUGAUAUUUCCUUCCUCGGUGAAUAUCCUCUUUCUAUCACUUUCUGGUGAAUCCAUGGGUCUUGAUGCACUGCUAUCGGUGGUUGCAGAAAUCCAUGUUGUUCGAUGUGAUAUUGAGGAAACAUCCUAAAUAUUCUCGCUCUAUAUUAUCUGCUUUUUUGUUGCUAAACUGAUCGAUUUUGAUUAGACUAAUGCUUCAAUUUGUGCCUUCGUGUGUUAUAUCUAAUAGGGACGCUAUGUGCAGCGAAUGCAAAUUAAAAUUAGUGCCCAGAUGAUUCUACAAUUUGGUCACUCUAGGACAUCUAUAACACACCUCUGUUAACUACCACCAUAGAUCAUACUGACCAUGGAAAACAAAAUGUAGAAUAAUUACUUAGCCUAGCUAUUAUAUAUUUGAUACAGUUACACACGAGGCAUUAAAAAGUAUACUGUCAACUACACCACCUCAUUAUCUAACUAGCUGUUAGACGUUCUUUUGUACUCUCCUAGGUCCUAGCCCCUUCAUACUUCAGUAAUGAUAUGUAGAUGCACCGGCACACUAUAUGUUGUAGAAUUUCAUUUUGGAUGAAGGCUAGAAAGAUCAGAUAGACAUAGAUAUCACUUUGAUUAGCAAGAUAUAUGUAUGUUAACUUUUGAACAAAAUGAAAACUAUACUGGGGUACCUUACCUUAUGAACAAAAUGAAAACUUAACUUGGGUAUCUUUGAACCAACGGCCCUGAAGGAAUCGUUUCCAGCUCAGUCCUCAAUGUACAACUUCCAACCCUGAAAAAGUUAUUUGUCCACAUAAUGUACACCCAUACACCUACAAAUAACCAGUAUACAUUCUCUGUUGCAGCAAUUAAAAGUGAACAGAUCAACUGGAGCGUCCCAUCCUCUUUUGGCCAGAACAAAGUACUUCAUCGCUAUCUCCUCCACCCUUUCUCAUAAUCACUUGAGUUUAUGGUCAUGAGAAUUUUCUUAGAAUUCGGUUAUGUUUGAAGAAGUGCUUGGUUCAGACAAUUCAUUGAUAUGGCUGUGUAGUGUUAAGUUGAAUAAAAUGGAUGCUAGACAUCAUUCAAAAGAAUGUGCAGUUCCAGCAGAGAGUGACCUACUGGGAAGUGUGUCUACCGAAUAAUAACAUCGCUGCCCGAACGUGCCGCCAGGAACACCACUGGCAGAAGUCUUCAGCGGACGUCCACAUCAUCUCACAGGGGGUGCGAAUUGUUCAUAGACUGCACUAGGCCUUCUGUAAUUUGAGGCAUAGAUAGCUUAUCUAGUAUGUUUUCUUUGCCUAUGUAUUGCGCUAUGUAAUGGGAACCUGUUGCUUCAUUAUCCACUGAUGAAUAGAACUAGCCUCGCAAUUGUGCAAUUUGUUUCCAGUUAUUACAUAUAGACGGUGGACUGACAUUUUUUUCCCGUCGGCAGUUUUGCAUCACCUUGCCAUUUACAAAGUAGAUUUAAGUUGUGACUUGCAAAGUAGUAUUGUUUUGUCUCGAGUAGCACCUAAUAUCACAUUAUCCUGCCCUUUUUUCAUGUUUCUUAUCCCCUAAUUCUUCAUGUGGUUUAAAAUGUCUCAUGCAUCCAAAUCCCAACCAAAAUACUCAUGCCAU